UUACAUUAAUAUACAUUGCCGUGUGAAUGUGUAUGUAUAUAGACGUUUGUAUGCAUAUUCAAUGCUAUAUUGUUUUGCCGUGAUAUUUAUGCUCGUGCUAAGAAGAGUUUCUAUUAACAGACGGACAAAUACGUGAUAAAGUUCUGUGUUUCCUGCAAAUACCUAUACUAAUGAUGCUGAAAUGGAUCGCUGGAAUAUUUGUGCUGAUAUUAUAUUUGUAUUACAGUUCGAUUGUGUUGUUUACGUGAUGUUUAACGAGUAGGCCUAUUUGAUUGUGUUCAGCACGAUAUCAUGACGCAGCAGUUGUUCUAUUACUGGAGCAAGAGCUCCGCCUAGUGGGCAUUAGUUUAAUUUCAGUCUGUAUUCCCAAUUCAGCGUUGCUUUAUGGGUGAUGUAUAUUUGCAAGCAUUGCACUUGAUAUUUGAGAAGUUUAUUUAAUUUAUUAUUGUUAUUUUAUUUCAGAAACCACACACACUCACACAAACUGUAUCAAACCCAAACUGCUGGACUAUUGGAAUAAAUCAAUGCUUUAGAACCGAAGCUGUCUUGAACUUUUGCCUAUAAACCUUCUGAUCGAGGUUGAGGAUUAGAUGUUGGCAAGCCAGUGCAUCCACGCACAUACAUCUUUAACAAAGUGGUCCUUCGAGCCGGAUACAACAUCUCAUCCUCAUGGCAGCAUCACGGGAUUACAUUGAAGAACAGCAGGGUCUCCAUCCUAGCAGGAUCCGCUAGAAUUCCUGGACAUCUGGAAGACUUUGUACUUACUUCCCAACCACGGCAGCUCGUUCCACCCUCUUUGCAAGAGGAUUUACAGCAUAUGCAUAUUAGUGAGACUGUCUCUGCUACCGAUGUGGACUAUAGAACUUCUACUCCAGAAAGGCAUUGGACUGAGCAGUAUGCUGAGACUACAAGGUUACGUAGAGUAGAGGAGUGUGUUUGGAAUGUACAAGAGCAAAUCAGGGAACUACAAAGCACAUUACAAAUGUCUCUCGAGCAAGGCAAAGGUUCACCACGCAUGCAUCAGGACUACUACCAUGCCGCAGGUGCUGGACAUCAAAGGUCAGUCCCUCACUUAAGCAGUCAACGGCAGUCCAUCCAGCAACGUAGUGCCAGCUUGCCUCUUCUCUAUGCAGACACAAGACCAGGUUCACAAAGCCCUGAUAACAUUGAAGUAUUAAAGUACUCUUCUCAAAUGAUACCUGCACACUCAUCAACCACAGCAUUACCUCAACUACAGAGUCAGCCUCCAGUCCAGCUGCCACAGGGGUUAUUACCUCAAGCUCAACAGCCCUUGUCUCGUCCAGCAUCUGUCCCUGUUACUGAACGUCAUGUAGCACAACAUGAGCCGCGCCCAGGGUCUGCUCCAGCAGGUAUGAUACAUCAGCCGUACAUUUAUCAACAGACUGGUGAUCAUCAGCAGACAUAUCAGCCACAAGUCCCAUCUUUUGCACAACAACAUGUACCUCCAAUGACAUCAUCUACGUCUACAGUGUACCGAACUGUACCUAGCAAACCGCCAAUUUAUGCACCUUUGAUUACACCUGUGCAGAGCAACACUGUGAAUCCCAAUUACGUCCAACCACAGUUCACACAGUCAUUCCCAGCAUUUGCUCUAGCACAGCCUCUGAUGUCUCAGUACUCGGAACCUCCCCCACUGCAAUCUGUAAAUUAUCCAGAUCCAUACACACAGGGUUAUAGACCUACCAGACUCCUAGAUGCAAUACCUCAGCCACAGUCAUAUUCUGCACCAUUCCCUUCCACUGUACAGCCAGUACAAGUUCCAAGCAUGGUGGAGAUGGCUAUCGCUUCCUCUUAUGGAAUACCUAAGCCUAAGCUCAUUCAUUUCACCACUGGGAAGGAGAGUGAUUUUACUCUGUUAAAAAAGGGACUUGAUGGCAUCCUGGGCCCACAUCUUCAUUUAACGGAGGACUAUAAAUUCCAAGUGUUACUUGAUCAUCUCAAAUUACCAGCUGCCUUUCAGAUAGCUAAGAGAUACAUGUAUGACCCCAUGCCUUAUACAAGAGCCAUGCAAGCUUUGCAACAGCGCUAUGGACAGCCCCGACAACUGGUACAGGGAGAAAUCGGCAACAUUCUCCGCACACCUCCACUGAAACCAGGAGAUGCUCAAGGAUUUGAGGACUUUGCAUUAUCAGUUAGUACUCUUGUUGGCCUCCUUAAUACAUUGGAGGGGUCUUCCAAGACAGAGCUUAUGUGUGGUUCCCAUGUUGACAGAUUGCUCACUAAGCUUCCAUCCUCUCAUAGAGAUAGCUUUGUUGAAUACUGUAUGACCAAGGGCAUUAUCCAGAAUGGGACUGAUAGAACCUACACUCUUCCUGAGUUUGCAGAGUGGCUUGAGAGAAAAUCACAAGCGCUUCAGAUAUCAAGGAGAGCAGCUGAUCUCUACAGUUCAGAUAAACCUCUCUCUGAGAAUAGAGAACAGAAAACCCUGAAGCCACCAAAGAUACAAUCCACAAUCUACUAUGGCAAAGAUAAUGCGACAGAAAAGCCCUCUGCCUCAUCUACCUCGUCUUUCCAAACAAAGAAAGAGCAGACAAAAGUCAAGAAACGGGAAAGCUUUAAGCCGUACUGCCCCUUCUGCAAAUGUCAACAGCAUUACCUCAACUCUUGUCCUGAAUUUGGUAAACUGAAUGUUGAACAAAUAACAGCAUGGAUAAAGGACAACAACAGAUGCUGGAGAUGUGGUAGAGGUCAUGAGCCUGCAAACUGCACCUUGAAAAAGCCAUGUUCCAAUUGUGGUGAACAACACUUGUCAAUUCUUCAUGAAACCGCAUCCAACAUCAACAAGAGCAUCCUUACUGUGAAUACAGUACCCCGCACGGUUUACCUCGAUCAAGUAACUCACUCAGGUAGAGUUAUGUUGAAAGUUGUUCAGGUCAGACUCCAUAGCAAAGGGAGAACAUUGGACACAUUUGCCAUUCUAGAUGAUGGGUCUGAAAGGACCAUAAUUCUCCCCACAGUAGUGCAUUACCUUGAUCUGGAGAAGACAGAUGAAUCACUUGCCCUCAGGACAAUUAGACAAGAGGUAGUAGAGAUCCAGGGUGCAUCAGUCUCAUUUGAAGUGUCUGCAUCUCUGAAUCCGAACAUUCGUCACAAGAUACACACUGCCUUUACCGCACAAGAGCUGAACAUUGCCAAACAAUCCUGCCCUGUGGACAUUUUAAAGCACAAGUUUGUACAUCUGAGGGACGUUCCCAUUAUUCCUUUCAAAGAGGUACAGCCCAUGCUCCUUAUCGGUUCUGAUUACCCUCAACUCAUCACACCGAUAGCUCCAGUACUUAUGGGCCCAUUGGGUAGUCCUGUUGGAGUUAGUACAAGUUUGGGCUGGGCCAUUCAGGGUCCAACUACAUUCCUUGACCAGCCAUUGGAGACUACUUGUCUGAACAUCUCGCUGUUCCACUCUCCCACACAAGAUCUGUCUCAUCAUGUUGAAAAGUUAUGGCAAGUAGACAUACUUCCCUUUCAGCCUGUGAAAGACAUGACACAAUCCAAGCAGGACAGAGAUGCUCUUCAAAUGCUGGAAGCUAAAACGAAGAGAGUAGAAGUGGAUGGAGUCUCUCGCUAUGCAACUCCUCUUCUUCGCAAAGGGAAUGCAAAAGUCUUGCAUGCUGGAACAGAAUCAGUCAUGGCUCUUCUAAGGGCCACUGAGCGCCGUUUAAACCGAAAUUCAGAGCUUGCAGAAGUCUACAAGAAAGAAAUACACAAACUGGAGCAGGCAGGGUAUGCAACAAAACUCACACCUGAAGAGGCUAUGGGUACAGAUGAGUCAUGGUUUAUUCCCCACCAUCUUGUGCAUCACAACAACAAAGCCAGGGUUGUGUUCAACUGUUCUUAUCAGUUCCACCAAGCUUCACUGAAUAAUCAGUUACUCCCAGGACCUACAUUGGGUCCAUCAUUGCUGGGAGUUCUUCUCAGAUUCAGACAAUAUCCUGUGGCCAUCAGUGGGGACAUUCGUUCAAUGUUUCACCAAGUGCGCCUCCUUCCAGAAGAUCAGCCUUUGUUACGUUUCUUGUGGAGAGAUCUGGAAAAGGAGAGAACGCCUGACAUCUAUGAGUGGCGUGUUCUUCCUUUUGGGACCACAUGCAGUCCAUGCUGUGCCAUCUACGCCCUCCAGCGUCAUGUCAUAGACCAUCGCGAAGGCAAUGAAGACGUGGUAGACUCAGUAUUGAAAUCCUUCUAUGUGGAUAACUGUUUGCAGUUUCUUUCCACAACUGAUGAGGCCAAACAGCUCAUAGACAAGAUGAGAGCUUUACUAUCUGCUGGGGGAUUUGAAAUAAGACAAUGGGCCAGUAACUACCCAGAGGUAAUUGCUCAUCUACCAACUGAAGCAAGGUCGGAAAGCUGUGAGCUAUGGCUGACUGUAAACAAGACAGACCCACAAGAGUCUACACUCGGGCUCUCUUGGCACUGCCCCUCUGACAAGCUUGGCUAUCGAAAUCGCCCACUAUCCACAGAGGAGCCCACUAUGCGCAAUAUUUAUAGAUUGCUAGCCUCUCAAUAUGACCCUCUUGGUUAUAUUUUGCCUUAUACCACCCGGGCCAAAAUCUUUGUUCAAGCUCUGUGGAUAAACAAAAGAGGUUGGGAUGACUGCAUUGAAACGGAGAUGCUUGCCAAAUGGCAAGAGUGGACCAAUGAACUGCAGUAUCUACCCAUGGUAGGCAUGCCAAGGUGCUAUUUCCCAGUCUGUCCAGAACCUGACAAUGACAAGAUAGAGUUGCAUGUGUUCUGCGAUGCUUCUGAGAGGGCUUACGGUUCGGUGGCAUAUCUGCGUCUCCAAGACAAGGAGGGCAGGAUUCAUACCUCAUUUGCUAUGGCUAGAUCCCGUGUUGCACCCAAAAAGCAACUAUCAAUGCCAGGACUGGAACUGUGUGGUGCCCUUACCGGAGUACAACUGGCUAAACUCCUCUUAACAGAAAUUACUCUACCCAUCCAUAACACUAUUCUCUGGACAGACUCCACUACAGUUCUCACUUGGAUCAAAUCUGAAUCCUGUCACUACAAGGUGUUUGUUGGCACACGGAUUGCCGAAAUACAGGAAUUGACCAGUGCAGAGAACUGGAGAUAUGUGGAAUCAGAUCUAAACCCUGCUGAUGAUAUUACAAGAGGGAAAUCUCUCUAUGAACUCUCUCAGGUAUGUCAGUGGAACCAGGGCCCUUACUUCCUCCAGCAGUCACCAGAAAACUGGCCCACACCACCUACCUUAUCCUCCACUGAUGAGAAUGAGCUAAGAAAGUCAUUUUUCUGUGCUCAUGUUGCUGUUCUUCACUCCUCCCUACCAGAUCCAGAGCAGCACCCAACAUGGCCAGACUUGGUUCAAGCUACCUACCGGUCUGCACAUGGGGCCUUAGCACCCUCAAUGUCAGCCUCACAACGUGUUGAUACUGAACUGCUUCUUCUCAGACAAGCGCAGCAGGAUAGUUUUCCUGAUGAAGUCCAUGCACUUCAGAAUGGCAAGGCCAUACGUGCUAGCAGUAGGUUAAGUACUUUGUCACCUGAAUAUGAUCAAACCUUGGGAGUAAUUCGGGUAGGAGGUCGCCUUCGCAAAGCUGAGAAACUUGAUGUUGAAACCUUGCAUCCUAUUGUAUUAGCACCUGAUCACCCCAUCACUAAACUCAUAAUACAAGAUUACGACAACAGACUUCUUCAUCCUGGUCCUGAGCGUGUCUUCGCAGAGUUGCGAAGAACUUACUGGAUUAUCCGAGGCAGACAAGCCAUAAAGAAAUAUCAACACCAGUGCAAAGAAUGCAGGAAAUGGCGCAGUAAUCCAGUCAACCCUAAAAUGGCAGAUCUCCCUGCUGCUCGUCUUCGCUUAUACCAGCCUCCCUUCUGGUCAACUGGAGUCGAUUGCUUCGGACCAUUUACAGUAAAGAUAGGCAGAAGACAUGAGAAACGAUGGGGAAUCGUUUUCAAGUGUCUCACCACAAGGUGUAUCCACUUAGACCUCCUGCAUAAUAUGGAUACUGACUCCUUUCUCAUGGCUUUACGCCGCUUCGUUGCACGACGAGGCAAACCCUUUGAGUUAAUAUCCGACCAAGGUACAAAUUUCAGAGGUGGGAAUCGAGAACUCCAAGAAACCUUCUCUGCACUUGAGCCAGAAAUCAAAGAAAAACUGAGUGAACAGAGUAUUUCCUUUCAGUUUAAUCCUCCACAUGCACCUCAUUUUGGUGGAGCCUGGGAGCGUGAAAUACGCUCUAUUAAAUCCUGUCUUCAAGUAGUACUUAAGGAUCAAGUUGUGUCAGAGGAAGUACUGUCUACUGUUCUGGUAGAAGUGGAGGGAAUACUAAAUUCUAAACCACUUGGGUAUGUAUCAUCAGAAAUAUCAGAUUUGGACCCAAUUACUCCAAAUCUCUUGCUGAUGGGGCGGCGGGAUGCCUCUCUCCCUCAAGUGGUUUAUGGCACAAGAGAAUUGCUCGGAAAGAGAAAGUGGCGACAUAGCCAAGUCAUAGCUGACCAGUUCUGGAAACAGUUCAUUCAGAACUACUUGCCAAGUCUACAACCCCGUGCUAAAUGGCAAAAAUCUACACCAAAUCUAUUGGUGGGACAAGUAGUUAUGGUUGUGGACUCUCAACUGCCACGAGCCCUCUGGCCAGUAGGCAGAGUAAGCAAAGUUGUUCCCAGCAGCGACGGAACAAUUAGAACGGCUGAUGUAACUAUUGGGAACCGUGUCUACUGUCGCCCUGUUUCUAAGCUAAUUGUUCUACCAGAGAUGCCCACUGAGACCAAUGGUACCUAACUUCAGAGAACAGGGAUCUUUAUUUAAUUUCUAAUUUGCUGUACAAAUUAGGGGGCGGCUGUAUAAAAUCCCUGUUGACUCUUAUUUUGAAUUCGUUAGUGACAUCACAUGUGGGCGGAGUCGUGGACAUGCCCAAACAAGUUCAGUAAAAAGACUGUUCUGCCGCUGCAACGAGAGAGAUCAUAGUUUGUUAGAUGUGUGUGGGUUCUUGACAACGGAACUCGCUCUGCGUUUGAAACGCUAUGGGGAACGUCACACGUGACCCGGUGUCUGAAAGCCAACUAUCCAACAACUCCAAUCCCUAUUGGCCGGCGACAGCCUAUGACGUAAUAUGACGCGACCCGGAAACAUAAAAGGAGCGCCUGGAGAAACAGUCAGUAUCUUUUUGUCUUUCGGGUCUGUUCUGUCUGAUCGCAACUAUAUCGACUCCGGUAAGGGAUUCUAUAAUAUGCCUUACAAACGUUCAAGAGAGUGAGUUCAUCUGUGUCCCAGGUUUUGACACUUGAUAUACACAUUUCUGGGCGUUUUCUGUGUGGAGAGGAGAGCGCAUAGACAGUGCUUGAGGGCGCUGUCUGUGUGUUUGUCUGUUAUUUACUGUGAGCAUCUUCCUAUUGGGAUGCUCUGUUCUCGUUCGGCACUCUUCUCGAGGGAAGACGUGUCCGCAUCUGUGCCUGGUGAUUCUGGCCCUGUUUGUGCUGAGGCAAAACGGCGGCUGCAAUCAUAGGGCUUGCAGGUGAGCUCGUUGGGAAGUUUGAGAGAGUUGUAAUCUCUCUCAGCUCCCCCGGGGCUGACGAGGAUGAAUUGUUGGAUGACGAUGACGUCCGUAUUUGACGUCAUCGCGUCCGGCAGCGAGCGCUCCUCUGGCUGAUGUGGAGCUGCUGGUGUUUUUGGGACGCGCUUUUUGGCAGGCUGCAGCUGCCGUGAGAGCGCGUUAAGAAAGGGGCCGUGCGCAGACGGCUCGACGAGCAGUUCCUUUCUGUCCAUGAACGCUGCAGCUCCCAUAAGCUUUCCAUUCCUUCCGGAUCUCCGCGUUGAGAUCAGGAGGGCAUGGAAAAACCCCUAGCCAUUCAGAUUUGUAUCUGAGCCCAGACAGACAGGAGGAGGAAGAAGUGAGAGUGAGAUGGGUGAUCGAUUGUAAACACCUCUGCGUUUGUAAUCGAUCCCCCAGCUGCAAGGGCGAUUUAUAUCUACCCUCUCCUUUUCUUCUUUCACCUCCUAUAUAUAUGUGUAUAUAUAUAUGUUUAUUUAUAUACAUGUGUAUAUAUAUUUUAUGUAGGAAUGCAAUCGGUGAGGUUAACAGCUAGGUUGUAGACUGUUUUUAGACUCCCUGAUGCUGUUUUCUCAGGUGGUAGGCCCUUAUCUUUGCGUAGAUAAGUUAUGCAGGUGUAUGUUAGGCCCCACUUCUAUAACUUUUCAUGCUAUGGAAAAUGUUUUUCCUCUGAGCCACUUGAUUUUCUUAAUCAAGUUUGAGUUGACGGUGCUAGCUUUUAGCCUUUGUCCUCCAGGGCUUAGUACAGAUUUGAGAAUCUGUGUGGAGAAAAUGUUUAUCCUCAUUGGAAACAGCAUGUAUGUCAAAGCAUUACGUUUGCUUUGAGUUCAAGACUUUUGCCCUACAUUUGUAUGUGAGCUUACUUAUGCUGCCACAGGUUAGCACCUGUUCUCAUAAUAGCAGGCUUUUUGAUGUUAGCCUCUAUUGGAGAGAUUGGUGACUAUUAUAUUCCCCAGUUGAGGUUUAUUUGUGUCACUGAGUGCAUCACCUGUUGGAUUGCAUACUCAGGGUAGUAUAGAACCACUUUUUGAGAGAAGCUGGUUUCUAUUAGCUCCCUUUUGUGAUCUUGUUAACAGCUAUAUUGCAUAUAACUUUGUAGGCUCUUAUGGUUAAUUAGCCUCCUUCUAGUUAAUGUAUUUCUAACAAGUGCUGUUAGUUGAUCAUAGUUUGCUCACAUAGUUUACACUGCCACAGGCUUUUGCUACGUGUCCGUUUGAGGUAGUAGGCCAUAUAGGCCUCCCUUAGACCAUGUUGGCAUUGUUUGGUUCCCUUUAGUCACAUAUGAUUUAGGGUAUAUUGCCUGUUGGAAUGUGUAGCCUAGCUCAGGUUGCAGUUAGCUUCCCACAGCUAUUGUUGGGUUAGAGCUGGUCUCCUGUAGCUUGGUUCCCUUUAUUUCACGAGCUGAAGCCACGUGUCAUUGGAACGGUAGGCCCCAACAGGCCUCCUUUCUAGUUCACAUCUUGGCACAGUUUGUGUUUUAUUCUGCAAACAGGCUGAAUGCCACUUGUUGCUGAGAUUGUAGGCCCCACAAGGCCUCCUUUUUAGCUGACUUGCUGGCAGGAUGCCUGGGAAUCCAAGAACCCAUACCACCAUCGGCCACGCCCCACCUCUGUUGAGUAGGCCUUAAGCAGGCCUCUCGUGGAGUAUGGUGGCGUAAUAUGCAUUCCUUCUCUCAGUAUUAUGCGUGAAAGGUUUUUCACUGAAUGCAUGGCCUGUUGGUUGGUAUGGUCUUGGACUGGCUGAUGCCAUGUGUUUACUAGGGUAGGCCCUAAUAAGGCCUCCUUUUUAGUUUACAUGUUGGCACAGUUUGUGUUUAUAUGGACAAACGGGCUGAACGCCACUUGUUGCUGAACUUGGAAGCCCCAUAAGGCCUCCUUUUUAGCUGACAUGCUGGCAGGAUGCUUAUGAAUCCAAUACCACCAUCGACCACACCCCACCUCUGUUGAGUAGGCCUUAAGCAGGCCUCUCGUGGAGUAUGUGGCGUAAUAUGCAUUUCCUUUUAGAAACUAAAUCGUUGAAUGCAUGGCCUGAUGGUUGGUGUGGUUAUGGUCGCCACUUGCUGAUGCCACGUGUUUACUAAGGUAGGCCCUAUGGGCCUCCCGUGUAGCAUGUUGGAGUUCAGUUAUGUACUCCUCUCACUUUGAGAGUAAAAGGUGCUUUUACCGAGUACUCUUCUGAGUGACUGACCUCUCAGGGGUGAGUUUUUGUGGUAAAAACCUUACUGAGGUUUGGUUUUAACUACAUCAGCCUCCUUGAGUCUGGGUUUCUACUCUAGUUGAGCUAAAUAGCCACCUAGUAUCUAGGUUGGUUCUAUUUUUGCUCCUAGAACCCUAAUGGCCACUAGACUAACGCCGUAUGUCUUAAAGGUUUUUAGGCCCUUUGGAUGGCCUUUUUUAAACAUACUAGCGUAUGUUGUAGUGUAUCCUCUUACUAGAGAGCUAUCAGUAUCCUACUGAAUACACUUCUGGUUGGCCAGGGCCCCAGGUGAUAAUUUAACCUCCAUUUGGUUCGGUUAUUUAUCCUUCCUGGUGCUUUAAACACUGCCACGAGCUGAUGCCACGUGUCUGCUGAGGUCAUAGGCCCCUCAAAGGCCUUCCUUAGUGCGUGCUGGCGUACGUUGUACUCCUCUUGCUUUAAAGAGUAAAAAGGGUUCUAUUACUGAGUACACUGCUCGUUGGAUUGUGUUAGGUGGAUUGUCAUGUGGGCACUUUACAGUUUAACUACUGUCACUAAGUCAUAUGUCCUGCUCCAACAGCAAGACAGGUGUUCAAGGUGGCCCUCACAGGCCACCACUGAAUGUCCUUCUAAUAUGAUGAAAUGCUUUUCGUAUGUGAGUCAUGUUCCAUAUAAAGCUAUUAUAAUGAUGUAGGCCCCUUUCUGGCCUCCAUGAUUAUGUGCCCACAGUAUGGUCUACCUGUUAGGUUGAGCUUUGCACUUCCCUGCUAGGGUUGUCUGUGUAAUAGUGCUUAGCUCCCUAAGCUGAUCAUGGGUUGUAGGCCUCCUUAAGGCCUCCUCCUAAGGUUCAGCCCUAGGCUGGUUUGUGCUCCCCUGUAUCAGGGUUUCUAGUGCACAGCCUCCUCAGUGCAAAUAAUCAAGCGCUGAAUAGAUCCUAGGAUGAGUGGAUUAUACUCCCCUCAAUAUGAGGGUUCAUAGCACUCAGCUGAGUUCUGCUCUCCAGGAUGCCCGUCUCUACGUGGCCACUAGACUAACGCCGUAUGUUUUACAGGUAUUAGGCCCUCUGGGCCACCUUUUGAACAUACUGGUGUAUGUAAUAGUGUACUCCUCUCGCUGAGAGAGUUACAAGUGUUUUGUUGAGUACAUUUCUGGUUGGCCAGGGCCCCAGGUGAUAAUUUAACCUCCUUAUGGUUCGGUUAUUUAUCCUUCCUGGUGCUUGAAACACUGCCACGAGCUGACACCACGUGUCUGCUGAGGUCAUAGGCCCAUCUUUGGGGCCUUCCUUAGUGCGUGAUGGCGUAUGUUGUACUCCUCUUGCUUUAAAGAGUAAAAAGGUUCUUUUACCGAGUACACUGCUUGUUGGAUUGUGUUAGGUGGACUGUUAUGUGGGCACUUCACAGUCUCAUUUUGCUGUAUACUAAAGUCAUGUUUCUUGCUUCCAGCAAGACAGGGGUUCAAGGUGGCCUUCGUAGGCCACCAUUGACUCUCCUACUGUUGUGACAAAGUACUCUAGCUUAUGUGAGUCGUACUCCACAUAGAACUACUAUCAUGAUGUCGGCCCUUUCUGGCCUCCAUGGUUAUGUGCCCACAGUAUGGUCUACCUGUUAGGUUGAGCUUUGUACUUCCCUGCUAGGGUUGUCUGUGUAAUAGUGCUUAGCUCCCUAAGCUGAUCAUUGGUGAAGACUUCCUUGAGGCCUCCCAUUGAGGAUCAGCCCCAGGCUGGUUUGUGCUCCCCUGUAUCAGGGUUCUUUAGCGCACAGCCUCCUCAGUGGGAAUAAUCAAGCGCUGAGUAGAUCCUAGGAUGAGCGGAUUAUACUCCCCUCAAUACAAGGGUUUAUAGCACUCAGCUGAGUUCUGCUCUCCAGGAUGCCCAUCUCUACGCGUGGGUUUGAGUUACUUACUGCCCUUCUUGCAGUCGCUCUUACCUGCUCUCUUCUCUGAAGAAUGCGUUAUGGAGAUUCUGUAUUCAGACAGGGUUGGCCAAGACUAAGUUUGUCCUGCAUCAGACCAGGUCGGCCUCCCUGGUGGCAUUGGGGGUGGCUUCGUUCCACUCUAGUGACUGGCCGGGGCUCUUUUUGGUUCCCUGGCCAUAUUCCCAACUUUUCUGAGGAAUGCCUUGAGCGGCAUUAGUAAGCUUUCUACGGAAGGCCUCUUUGAGGCUUAGCUUGGGCUGUUGGCCAUAGCAACCCGAGGGUGAGUUGCUAAGCGUUUCCUUCGAAACUGCUCGACAUUUGUCAGCCAUAUUUUUUGGCAUGCACUCUCCUUAAGCAUGGCGGCAUGGGUAUAUCGUUCCCCAUAGCGUUUCAAAUGCAGAGCGAGUUCCCUUUCGAAAGGGAAUGUCUCAGGUUACGUAUGUAACCAUGGUUCCCUGAGA